AUUGAACGCUGGCGGCAGGCUUAACACAUGCAAGUCGAGCGGGGUGAUGGUGCUUGCACUAUCACUUAGCGGCGGACGGGUGAGUAAUGCUUAGGAAUCUGCCUAUUAGUGGGGGACAACAUCUCGAAAGGGAUGCUAAUACCGCAUACGUCCUACGGGAGAAAGCAGGGGAUCACUUGUGACCUUGCGCUAAUAGAUGAGCCUAAGUCGGAUUAGCUAGUUGGUGGGGUAAAGCCCUACCAAGGCGACGAUCUGUAGCGGGUCUGAGAGGAUGAUCCGCCGCACUGGGGCUGAGACACGGCCCAGACUCCUACGGGAGGCAGCAGUGGGGAAUAUUGGACAAUGGGGGGAACCCUGAUCCAGCCAUGCCGCGUAUGUGAAGAAGGCCUUAUGGUUGUAAAGCACUUUAAGCGAGGAGGAGGCUCUUUUGGUUAAUACCCAAGAUGUGUGGAUGUUACUCGCAGAAUAAGCACCGGCUAACUCUGUGCCAGCCGCCGCCGUAA
rnacentral:rRNA from 1 species